ACAAGCUCGCGUAUAAAUAGGAGAGGAGGUACAGCAGCUCCUUCCAGGGACAGAGCUUGAGCGCAGCUACGUACGCAUCCCAGCAUAUGGCUUUCACUUCCAGAGCCUUGGCCGCGUUCCUGUGCGUGCUCCUGGCCUCACUCAUGUUCCUCACGCAGCACGCGUUCGCCGCCAGAGGUACUUUGAGCAACGAGACGCCAUACGGAUACGAGGGCAGCUACCAGGCCCCGCCGGGCCUGCCCGAAGGUUAUGGGAAUUCUCCUCCAUGAUUGGCCGGAGACGAUGAUACUUGGAGCACCGAAAUACAAAUACGUACGGCGGAGCAUGAAUAAAUUUGCACCAGUUGCUGAUAUAUAGCAAAGCAUAGUGAUGCACCUUUUUAUAUUGUUAUUGAGUUUCCCUUUAUAUAUAUACAAAUAAACACCCUUGUGGCGGUUGUGCGCGUCGUCUGAGUUUGGCCGAGGCCGAGUCUCUUCGGGUCGCAUCAAAGUUAUCAAGUCUCUGCAUCAACUAAGUUACAGUCAUUAUAUAGCUGGACACUACCUUGUACCUUGAAUGAAUACUGGAAUGAGAAGAAAAGCCGCCACGACAAGUUCGCGCGGCGCAAAUCUCUUCA